AUGAUGAGUAUGGUUCUAUCAAGGAGACUACAAGGUUACUCCAAGAUGGAGAAGGAAGACUCAGAAGAGAGAAAGCAUAGAGAAGCACAGUUCUUGAUAUACAAAGCAUUAGAAAAAGUUGAUUCUCGAAGAAAGCCUUCAUUCUUGAGGAUUAAAAUAUUUAAGUUGAAGAUUAAGUUUGGGAACAGCUGUAGGAAGAUCAAGAAGAGAUUUUUGUUCAAGUGUAAUAGGAGUUGGAGCUUGUUUUAUUAA